UGGGCAACCCGCCCCCGACCCUGGGAUAACCCCAGGAAACCGGAGCUAAUACCGGAUACUCUCCUCUGACCACCUGGUCGGAUGAGGAAAGGUCCGCCGGUCGGGGAUGGGCCCGCGGCCUAUCAGCUUGUUGGUGGGGUAACGGCCUACCAAGGCAUCGACGGGUAGCUGGUCUGAGAGGACGACCAGCCACACUGGGACUGAGACACGGCCCAGACUCCUACGGGAGGCA
rnacentral:rRNA from 1 species